UAAGAAUUUAUAUACAAGUUACAGAUACAGUGAAUAUCAACUUGAGAUAAGGUUACAGAAUUGUUAUCAUUUUGUUUCUUCUCAUAAGUUACAUUUUGACAUUAUAUUCUUUAUGCUUUCUUUAGCAAGUGAUCCAUUAUGGAUACAAAAGGAAGACUCUAAGAUUAUAAGUAAAAGCAAUUCAAAACUAUCAUGGCUAGUAGGGUUUAUCUGAGUAACAAAUAAAUGAGACAUAGGCUUAUUUACUUUGAAAUUCACUGGCCACAGCAUACCUGCUCACUAGAUACAAACUGAGAUGUUAGCAAAAUGUUCCUUUUUAAAAGGGAAAAUACUUAAAAUCAUUGCUUUAUUUAUUGAUUCAUUAAACUUUGUUUCUGUUCUAUUAACUCAUUGAUAAAAGUCGAAAGGAAUAGACACUAUUGUGGUUGUGAAUGACAUGAACCUUCUGGAACCUUUUGGAAGUCUUCCAUUAAAUCCCUAUCAAAUCCUCUAACAACCAACUAGGCAGAGCCAGUCAAAAGACUAAUAAAGGGAUUUAAGAAGGGGACACACUCAUCAGAUUUUCCUUUUAGACAAGUCACUCUGGAUUGGACAAUGAAGCCACUGAAGGCAGGAAAACACUUGGGAGGCAAUGGCAACAGCCACUCAGGUAAAAGUGAGCAGGAAUUUGAAGGGAUGAGGUCAAGAGGUUUUGAGGAGGCAGAGUCAACAGGACAAGGUGAUUAAGUUGGAGGAGAGCCGGAAGAGGGAUUAAGGUGUUGGGAUAGACACUGGAAUGUAAAUUAGAGAAAGAAUUCAGAUGUGGGAGCAGGUUUGGAGGGAGGGAAGAUGAGUUUCCUUGGAAUAUGUUGUUUCAGUUGUUCAUGGGCUUUACACAUGGAAUGGUACAUGGUGCAUGCACUAUAAUGACUUAAAAGCAUAACCGAAGGGUAGCUUUUAUGUUAUGUAUUUUUUAUCCACAUAAAAAUAAUUUGGAUCUGCAUGGGAUGUUUUGGGUUAUCAAAAUAACUGGAAGGGGUGCUACUGACAUUUAAAGUCAAGGGGGAGGGAGAGAAGGAUGCUGAACUACCCUAUGAAACAAAAGUGACAGGCUUGCUGCACCCGUUUACCACUCAGCACCCUCUUGAAAAACAGUGAAGGUGCUGGUAGAAACCAUAAGCCUCUGUAGACUUGGUAGAAAAGCACAGAAUCCAUCAGAAUCUGUGUAUAUAUGUAUGUAUGUAUGUAUCUCUAUCUAUCUACCUACCUACCAA
rnacentral:lncRNA from 1 species